rnacentral:lncRNA from 1 species
UUAUAUUGGGAGAAAAGAAACCAUGAAAUUUUGAUCUUGGAUGCCAAGCAUGGGAAAAAGAGAAAGACACAACUACUAUGGUAACCCCACUAAACUUGUAAUGUCCAACUAGCGAACUACCUGUCACCACCGACAAAAAAGUACUAACCGAGUGCUUGGGUGAUAUAAUGUGCAAUUCGAUACCCAUCAAGAUCACAAUUCAUGAAAAAG